rnacentral:rRNA from 1 species
ACUCCUACGGGAGGCAGCAGUAAGGAAUAUUGGACAAUGGGCGCAAGCCUGAUCCAGCCAUGCCGCGUGCAGGAUGAAAGUGCUCUGCACUGUAAACUGCUUUUGUUUGGGAAAAAACCCCUGGUUUCUACCGGGGCUGAUUGUACCAAAAGAAUAAGGGACGGCUAACUUCGUGCCAGCAGCCGCGGUAAUACGAAGGUCCCAAGCGUUAUCCGGAUUUAUUGGGUUUAAAGGGUGCGUAGGCGGGCUAUUAAGUCAGUGGUGAAAGCCCCAAGCUUAACUUGGGAACUGCCAUUGAUACUGAUGGUCUUGAGUACAUUUGAGGUGGGCGGAAUGUGUCAUGUAGCGGUGAAAUGCUUAGAUAUGACACAGAACACCGAUUGCGAAGGCAGCUCACUAAACUGUAACUGACGCUGAGGCACGAAAGCGUGGGGAGCAAACAGGAUUAGAUACCCUGGUAG